UGUACAUCUCAGGGGAGGUUUAGGCCAAAAUGCCUGUAACAAGUUGAACUACCCCUGAAAAAUUAUUGCAAGAGCUGAAUGUGUGAGACAGGCAGAAUGAAGAGUCUGCAAGUAGACAGGGGGAGGGAGCAUGUUUUCAAGUGUUUUAUAAUUACUAGGAUUCAUUUAAUCCUGUUUACAUUUACCUUUGCGCAUGAAAUUCAUAACCAUGGUGUGCAACCAGGCACGGUGGUGGUGAUAUACAAAAUCUUAUUAAUGAAGAUGAUGGGAGGAUUUGGGAUGUGGAAGGAGGGGUGUUGUGAUGGAAUUAACACCCGCUGCUUUUCAUCCCUUUGGAAAACAAAUUGCUUGUCAAGAGACUCAGUGGGGUCCAACUACAAUCAGCCCUCAAGGAAAAGAAGUGGGAUAUGAAACACAAUGGCUCACACAGGCUCCAAAAUGUCCUGGCUCUUUAGGUGUUGAGUAAGCAGCUGUAUUGAAGACAGCUGAAUGCUGAGGGAGAGAGGUUUCCCAUUGCUGCCUGGAUGGAUGGUCCUGUCAGUCCUGUCUUAGUCCCAGGGGAUGGUCUCCUACACUCUCCCUUGUGUGAUGACUGCAUGACUACACCCCUUGGAUCCUAUCACCAUUCAUCUUUGGAAAGGAGCAAAACGGAGCACUGUUUAUCAGAAAGCAGAGAGCCGCAGCAGCAAUUCCCUGACCCAUGAAUAAGAUUUGAUCAGCAGAUGCCUCCUUUCAGCACUGAGCACUACUUCCAUCUAUUCUGUGCUCCGCAAAGUCCUGGUUACGAGCACCGAGCAAACCUUCCUGAAGCACAGACCCUCAGAGGACCUGAGCAAGAACACCCUGUGCACGCAGGCCUGGCUUUAAGGUAUCAUUUGGAGUUCAGCCGCAGGUUAAUCUGUCUGUAGCACCAGAUCCACUCCCAGCUUUUCUUUGGAAAGGGUCCAUGUGCUUUCUGCAGGCUCAAAGAGCAAGAGAAAGCUCCAAAUCCAUCCACAUUAAUUUACUUUUCUUCCCAGUCUUUGACUGCUACAGAACUCCCCAGCCUGAGCUCUCAUUUGUCAGCAUUUGGGGCUCACUGGCAGCUUCUCAGCUCCCCGCAGCAGAACAACACAGUCACCCCCAGCAGCCAAAAGCACCAAACAAGGAGGGACAGCCUCAGCUGUACACACUGCUUUUCAGUAAUGACCCAAUUUACUUUGGGGUUUUUUUUUGCCUCUUUCUCUUUUUUUUUUCUCCCCUGCUAUAAAGAUUUAUGGUGAGGAUGGUGCCCAGCUGCAUCUGAGUGCAAUAAUCCUCCUGUGGUUGGUGGAAACCAAGCAGCUAUUCCUCCAGCUUGUUAGCAGUCAGGAAGAUGGAAGGAAGUGGGAGGAAACUGGAGGGUGAGGGUUUUGAGUGCCUCACUCAUCACUGCUGAACCCCGCGCUAUUUAUGGUGCAAUUAUCACCGCAGACAGACUCCUUUAUCAUCCAGCCAAUAUUCUGGGUACAAAUCCUAUUGCAGCACAGUCACUCCAUACAUCAUCCAGGCACAACAGCAGCCAGGUGAAGAGGUUCAGAGCACUGAAUAGCUCUGCACAAGGAAGGGAAGAGGGAACCAGGCUCCUGCCUGCCCCCUAAAUACCACACUUCUGCCCCAAAUCCUUUUUCUUUAGGAGGGAAGUGAUGCAUUUUUCCUUCUUCAUGCUGACAUCUCUUCCAAAGUCUGGCUCUAUUUCUCCAAGGAAAAGGCUCCCAUGCAGCUCACACCUCUCUUGGUUGGUUUGGGGCAAGGCUGUGGAGCAGCAUGGGCCAUAAACAGUGCCAAUGCAGCUGGGAUUCUGGAAUAAGAUUGUGGUGUGGAUUCUCUGGUGUCUUCUAUGGUUAAAUCACACAUCCUACUGCCAGGAACCUUUGUUAGUAAAGGGUUGGUUAAGAUGAUCUCCAGAGAUCCCUUCUAACCCCUUGAACUUUGUGACACUGUGAUUCUCUUCCCCUUCUGUUUCACUGCCUGUGUCAGAACCUUGGUAUACCUGGCAACCCCUUCCCUUGUGUCAAAUAUUGGAGUGAGGGGGUGGGAGCCAGCAAGGAUGCAAGAAGCUGGGUCAUCAGGCAUCACACACCUGUUCCCAGUACAGCACAGAUCAGCCCCACCACCUUUCCUUUGUCACUGCAGGCUGCAUUUACUCAGGGAUAAACCUUAACACCUGCAAUGAGUGGAAUUCUUCAGGCACAGGGCUGUAAUAACCAUUGCUCACAAUGCUCACUUACUUUCUAAUUGCUGAAGACUUCUUCUUUUCCACAUUCUCAGUGCUUGAAAGGGGAAGAACGCAUCUAGGAAAUGUAAUUUAAUACCCCAAACGUGCUCACUUAAUUGCAAUCCCCAUAAGCCAGCCACACAAAACUAAACAAAUUCGAUUAAUUUAUUUCAAUUUGCACAAGUCUCCCUCUCAGACUGUAAUUAAUGGAGGGAAACAAUUAAGGUAAACACAGCACAGCUGAGAGAGCUGUUCUCGCUAGAAGUCACAUUUUAUUUUAAUGGUGCUGUAUUUAUAUAAGAAGUUCCACACUUUUAACAAGUUUCCCAUUACCUUGGUGUUUAAUCAGCGCUGUAAAUAUUUUGCUUCAGCUGAAAUGGUUUUUGUGAAGCCAUAAAUCAACAGGGAGGGAGAGAGCAGGGAGGGAGUGUGUUGCUAUAGGAGGAAUGCAGAGACACGGGCUGCUGCUGGAGCCUUAGGUCUCAGCAUCAUGACACUGUAUAUACAUACAGCCCCAUAUAGGCUUUAUCUCUACAUGCUGGCACUGCCCACUGAGCACUGAAAAGCAGGAAUGAUGUGAUCCAUCUGUCAUUGCUCCAAAGUGUUGUUGCUACAGCAUGAAAAGAAAAAUUGACGCUGCUUUUCCUCCUUUCUUCAUUAACCUUUAGAUAUAACAACACGCUCACAUUUCAGUGCAGGCACAGUCUUACCAGAGAUUUUAACUCUAACAAACAAUCUCGUGUUGAUUUUCUGCUAUCUCUCUCAGUCUAAUUAGUUGGGAAAUACACCAUUUGCUAAAGAAAGACGA